GCAGGAAGGUGUUAAGUUAUAAUGACGGAGCAAUUAAGCGAUAAGUGGGUAUAAUUAACCCCACGUGGGGUAACCGAGACGGGCUUAAGUGGACACGGCCGCGUUGCACAACGAUGGGCCCAGCCAUGGAACGACAAUAAGCAGAGCUCCUGUUCUUUCUGUUUUGCUCACACACCUUUUAUGCUGCAUGGAGCUGUGAGGAACUGGUACCAUGAUGUGUGAUAAAGGUCAUGCGGCUGAUAUACCA